AGAGGCAACAAGUGAAGAGGAAGAUAUAUUUGAUAGUGAUGAUUCACAAGAUUAGUUCCAAACCUAAGAAGAGGACGAAGAGGAAGAUGAGGAUGAUUGAGAAUAUUAGUUUGUCGAUUUGUUUUGUUUAUUUACAAUACUAUAAUUGGUUUAUGAUUUUUAUAUUAUACUAUUUAGAAAAUUCAGAAUAUUAUUUUGUCUCCAUGGAUAGCAAGAGAUUAUAUAUGCUACGAACUCAAACCUAUGAUGUUUGUUGUGCUAUUUUAUUCUCUAGAAGUUUAUCAGUUGAACAUGAAGUGUGUAGGCCUUUGUGUAAUCCUUAUUUCCAUUCAUUUGAUUUUGUCCAAGCUAGUGCAAUAUUUAUUUUUCAGUUGCUGGUAGUUGGUGUGCUCUAUCUUAUGCAAAGAAAUGAGGAUCCAAAGUUAUCAUCUGUAAGUUGGAGACUAGUAGUGCCUUCUUAAGCUUAAAAGUUAACUGAAGAAGGGACAUGGAGAAUGAGUAGGUACAGUUAAGAAAGUUGCCCAAUUCUGUGCCAAGAUUACUUUAAUAUCUAAAUCAUGGUCAGCCGAAAUACUUAUCACUAUAUUUAUUCAUGUUUUGUACAGUGAUUACAUCACUAAUACAUUAUAUUAAUGUUCUUUGUUUCUUGCAGAUGUCAGGUGUAGGAUCUAAAAGAGAUGGACAAUCUAAUGAACAAUUUUGAAAGAAAGAAACAAGAAUUAGCAACUUCUCAAAAUGCAUCAGCUGCGGAAGGAGACAGUAAUCCAGCUAGUCAACCUUCUCAAUUAAGUGAAAUUGGAUAUUUGGGUGCAAGCUGUUGGUGGAAAGAAAAAAGGAAGAGUUGCAGGUCUUAGCUCCUUAGGUCGAUCUGUAAAAGCAAAUAAGCAAUCAACAUCGGCUUUAACGAGAGAAAUUGAUGAGAUGAUUAAAUCCUAGGUACAUGCUUCCAAUGCGGACUUAUAUGCUCAGUUGCAGGAAGAGCGCCGCAAAAAUAAGAGGAUGAGGAAGGAAUUAGACUUAUUGAAGAAGCAUGUAUACAACGCAUCAUCUACAAAUGAGCGAUCAUCUCAAGAAGACAAUCAAGGUUAUCAAAAUAAAAUUGGUGACAACUCUGUUAAUGUGGAUGGAAGUGAUUCUGACACAGAAAACGUGAAUGAAAGUGACUAUGAUCAAGAAUAAGAUAGUUGAUAGUACUAUUUGGGAUUCACUUUCGAGAUAUUUUGUUUGUUUUUGAACUAAGACACAUUAUUGGUAUUGAUGUUAUGAAUUGUGUUUUUUCUUGGUUAUGAUGAUUUAUAUUAGACUUA